rnacentral:rRNA from 1 species
CCUACGGGAGGCAGCAGUGGGGAAUAUUGGGCAAUGGAGGCAACUCUGACCCAGCAACGCCGCGUGAGUGAUGACGGUCUUCGGAUUGUAAAACUCUUUAAGUGGGGACGCAGAAAGUGACUGUACCCACCGAAUAAGCCUCGGCUAACUACGUGCCAGCAGCCGCGGUAAUCCGUAGGAGGCAAGCGUUAGCCGGAAUGACUGGGGGUAAAGGGUGCGUAGGUGGUUUGACAAGUUAGUAGCGUAAUUCCGGGGUUCAACUUCGGAACUACUACUAAAACUGUUGGGCUUGAGUGCAGGAGAGGUGAAUGGAAUGCGUAGUGUAGCGGUGGAAUGCGUAGAUAUUAGGAGGAACACCAGCGGCGAAAGCGAUUCACUGGACUGUAACUGACACUGAGGCACGAAAGCGUGGGGAGCAAACAGGAUUAGAUACCCCAGUAGUC